ACGUUAUGCGCAUGUUUGACAACGCCGUCGGAAGCAUAACAACAAGAGAGCUUGUGCAAUACUAAGCGGGGAUUUCCACUAAAUAAUCAUGGUUUUCUCCUCUCAAAAAACAAACAAACCAGGAAGGCGGGAGCCAACAUUGAGUAAUUCACGCCGAAAGAACCGUCACGGACUAACAGAAAAUGAAACUAGACGACGCUUGCAAAAAACCAAAAACCUUUUCAGUUGAUCACUGCUGGCUCUGCCUGCCUAAACGUCUCUUCUUCACUUAGGGAGAGAUGCAAGCCAACUAACAGAGUAACACCAAAUCUGAGUCCAGUUGCAUCCUCGACCAACAAACUUUAAUUCUGGGUGUAAGCUUUUAUAUGCAUGCACCCUUCUUCAUAUACUGAGUCACACUGAAGGACACAAAAUACAACAAGAUUUUUUUCAAAGAACACAAAUUAAAACAUCCAAAAGCUCGCUCACAACUUGAGUCUCGCUCACAACAAUUUCGGCUUCAUGAAAGAAAAAACAAUCUAUUCUGCUUAAGUUUUUGUCUAUGGAUAACUAUGAGAAUGAAGAGAGAGAUGAUACAUCUGUAAAUGAGUGCAUGCAACUUAAGCAGGUGAAGAAAUGGCAGCUUCUGAGGAAAUAAGACAAAGUAAGUUGGAAUGGCUGUGAAUAGCCUUGGAAUACUCAGAUACAACAUUUAGUCCACAAGGAAAUUCUGAUAAUACCUCAAGUUAACAAAAUAUUGGCAUUUGGCACUGUUGGUUGGCAUGAUAAUUCCUCCACAAUUUCUUGUGAGGCUUUUGCCUGUACUCAGUGGAAUUUGGAUAUGACAAAGACUUCACUUUCAAUGAUGAUGAUAAUAAAGCUUAUUGAGACAUGUCAAAA